rnacentral:rRNA from 1 species
GGGAGCUUGCUCCCGGAUGUUAGCGGCGGACGGGUGAGUAACACGUGGGUAACCUGCCUGUAAGACUGGGAUAACUCCGGGAAACCGGAGCUAAUACCGGAUAGUUCCUUGAACCGCAUGGUUCAAGGAUGAAAGACGGUUUCGGCUGUCACUUACAGAUGGACCCGCGGCGCAUUAGCUAGUUGGUGGGGUAAUGGCUCACCAAGGCGACGAUGCGUAGCCGACCUGAGAGGGUGAUCGGCCACACUGGGACUGAGACACGGCCCAGACUCCUACGGGAGGCAGCAGUAGGGAAUCUUCCGCAAUGGACGAAAGUCUGACGGAGCAACGCCGCGUGAGUGAUGAAGGUUUUCGGAUCGUAAAGCUCUGUUGUUAGGGAAGAACAAGUGCGAGAGUAACUGCUCGCACCUUGACGGUACCUAACCAGAAAGCCACGGCUAACUACGUGCCAGCAGCCGCGGUAAUACGUAGGUGGCAAGCGUUGUCCGGAAUUAUUGGGCGUAAAGGGCUCGCAGGCGGUUUCUUAAGUCUGAUGUGAAAGCCCCCGGCUCAACCGGGGAGGGUCAUUGGAAACUGGGAAACUUGAGUGCAGAAGAGGAGAGUGGAAUUCCACGUGUAGCGGUGAAAUGCGUAGAGAUGUGGAGGAACACCAGUGGCGAAGGCGACUCUCUGGUCUGUAACUGACGCUGAGGAGCGAAAGCGUGGGGAGCGAACAGGAUUAGAUACCCUGGUAGUCCACGCCGUAAACGAUGAGUGCUAAGUGUUAGGGGGUUUCCGCCCCUUAGUGCUGCAGC